GUCUGGAAAGGUUUUGAGCGAUAUAUACACAUUGCAACAAUAUAUUUGAAGCAGAUGCAAUGCAGUGAGCUAACACUAGCUGCAAUUCUUUCUAUAGCCGCAAAGCUCUGAAAUACUGGAACCGUGAUCUUUCUAAAGGGGAACCGUUCAAACAUACUCAAGAUAUUCUCAUUAUGCAGCACGGAAGUCUGAACCGAAAGAUUCUGUUAUCAAUUCUGAUAUGAAAAAAUGUGUGGAAUGAACUACAUGCAAUUGAAGAUACACAUAAUCAACAAAAUAUUUUACAUUUCGUUGACUUCACAUCACGUGGAUAUCUUAAACUUCAAUAACGAGUCAGUGAGGAAAGUAUCCAAUAACAUCACCAACCAGUACCAGAAUUCACCUUAGUCUAUGUCUUAAAUACAUAAAUAAAUUAAUAUAUAUCGGCGACUAUUUUUUUUAUUUAUAUUCCUUACU